CCUGCUGCUAGGGGAACGGUACUGUGAGUCGGAUAGACAGGCAGAGAGCUGCAGCCCCACUGAACAGAAUAGAAAGCACCGCUGCAAGCUGCAUGGUAGGAAGGAUCCUCGCCACAUUGUUCCUCCGCAUUUAUUAAACCGCCCAGGAAUCCACCGCUCCGGGAAACGACCCUCUCCGCUGCCCGGGACGCACGAUGAUGAAGUUUAGGUUCCGUCGGCAGGGCAACGACCCACAGAGAGAGAAAAUUAAACAGGAAUUGUUCGCCUUCAACAAGACCGUGGAACAUGGGUUCCCCCACCAGCCCUGUGCUUUGGCCUUUGACCCCCAGCUGCAGCUCAUGGCCAUCGGGACCAAGUCUGGAGCCAUCAAGAUUUAUGGAUCUCCAGGGGUGGAGUUUACAGGACUACACAGAGACGCUGCAGCCGUAGCGCAGAUACACUUCCUCCAAGGACAGGGCCGUCUGUUGUCGCUGCUUGAUGACAACACGCUGCACCUGUGGGAGCUGGGCGGAGCUUCCCGGGACAGGGGAGGGGCUAAGAGCGAGGGUGUGGUCUACCUGGAAGAAAAACGCAACUACAGUCUCCUGGGACGACCUGGACUAGAGAGCUGCAGUGCAAGCCGUGUGACAGUUCUGCUGUUGUUGAGUUCAUGUGACCUGCUGUGUGUCGGCACCGAGGGAGGGGGCAUACACUUCCUGGAUCUGCCACGCCUCUCGUUGAGGGAUAACCAAUCACUCCUGCUGGAUCAGGUGAUGCAGAGCAUACCUGAGGACUACAGGUGUGGGAAGUCUCUGGGACCGGUGGAGUCGUUACAGGAACACCCCAAGCAGCCAGGGAAGAUUCUGAUUGGCUACAGCAGAGGCCUGGUCGUCCUAUGGGAUCUCAGCACCCGCAACGCAGAACACAUGUUCCUGGGAAAACAGCAGCUGGAGUCCCUGGUGUGGGAACGUUCCGGUAGCUCCUUCGUCAGUUCCCAUAGCGACGGGGGGUACAGCGUGUGGGCUGUUGCCAGUGGUAACACGUACACACACCAGCCUGUGUCCUCGUCCAUCCCCUAUGGUCCGUUCCCUUGGGACCUCAUUAACUCCUUGUCAUCUCGUUGUGUCUCAGGUCCGUUCCCUUGUAAAGCCAUCAACAAGAUCUUAUGGAGGACGAUUCAGUCAGGGUGUCCAGUAGUCCUCUACAGUGGAGGAAUGCCCAGGGCCAGUUAUGGAGACCGUCACUGUGUGACCAUCCAACAGGACAAACAACACGUCACUCUAGACUUCACAUCCAGAGUUAUAGACUUCUUCACCGUCCACACCACUGACCCGGAGCACGACUAUGAUGAUCCUAAAGCCCUCGUGGUGUUACUAGAGGAGGAGCUGGUUGUAAUAGACCUCUUGACCACCGGGUGGCCCUCUGUCCCUCCUCCUUACCUGGCUCCGCUCCACUCCUCCGCCAUCACCACAUCCUGUCACCUGGACAACGUCCCCGCCAAGCUCUGGGACCGCCUGGCCGCCGCCGGGAACAGCCAGGGCGCUCAGCCUGGAGUGAGACACGCACACGGGAGUUGGCCGAUAUGUGGAGGGAAGAAUCUAGCGCCCCCGCCCAGACAACAGGAGUUGCUGCUGACGGGGCAUGAGGACGGUACAGUGCGGUUCUGGAAUGUGUCUGCUGUUGCCAUGACUCCUCUCUACAAGCUCAGCACGGCUAACGUCUUCCAUACCGACUGUGACCCUAACGACGACCCCCUGGACCCUACCAAUGACCCCGAAGCACUGCAAGAGGAGGAGUGGCCUCCCUUCAGGAAGGUGGGCUGUUUUGAUCCGUAUAGUGAUGAUCCUCGUCUGGGGAUCCAGAAGAUCAGUCUGUGUAAAUACAGCUGUAGACUGGUGGUGGCCGGGACCGCUGGACAGGUGAUCGUACUGGGUCUGAGUGAUGAAUGGUCGGACCACACGGUCGAUGUCUCCACGGUCGACCUGCUUCAGGACCGAGAGGGGUUCACCUGGAAGGGCCAUGAUAGGCUGGAGCCCCGAGCCAGCACCGCCCCCUUCCCUCCAGGCUUCCAACCAUUGGUCCUCGUGCAGGCCCUGCCCCCAGCCUCUGUUACCUCUGUGAUGCUGCAUGCGGAGUGGAACCUCGUAGCGUUCGGGACGAGUCACGGCUUCGGACUGUUUGACUACCACAGACGCACUGCUGUUCUGGCCAGGUGUACCCUGCACCCUAACGACUCCCUAGCGAUGGAGGGUCCUCUCAGCAGAGUGAAGAGUCUGAAGAAGUCUCUCAGACAGAGCUUCAGACGCAUCAGGAAGAGUAGAGUGUCUGGGAAGAAACGCCCCAUCCCCACCCCUACCAGCAAGAUCCAGGAGGCCAACGCAGCGCUAGCUGACCAGGAGGAAGUAGCUCCGGUGCAGAGGAGGAUCGAGCCGAGAUCAGCUGACGACUCUCUAUCAGGAGUGGUGCGAUGCCUCUGUUUCGCUGAUACGUACCUCAGAGACGGUACACACCACGGCCCGACGCUGUGGGCGGGGACAAACUCAGGGAGUGUGUAUGCUUACGCGUUGGAGGUCCCGGGUGUGGGGUCGGGCCGUGGGCGGCCGGGGGGUGAGGGGAGCGGCUGUGUGGAGGCCGUGUUGGGGAAAGAGAUCCAGCUGAUGCACAGGGCUCCGGUCGUGUCCGUCUGCGUGCUGGACGGACGGGGGAAACCGUUACCAGAACCUUACCAAGCCUCUCUGGACCUGGCUACUGCUCCAGACAUGACUAACCCACACUCUGUCCUCAUCGCUUCAGAGGAACAACUCAAGGUGUUCAGUCUUCCUAAGGUCGGUGCGAAGACCAAGUUCAAGCUGACGGCUCAUGAGGGUUGUCGUGUGCGGAGGGUUGCCAUGGUGACUGUGUGUUCCACGGCCCAGGAGGACUACAGUGAGACCAGUCUGGUCUGUCUGACCAACCUUGGAGACCUGCACUUGUUUAACGUACCUGCCCUACGGCCACAGGUACGUUAUGACUGUAUCCGUAAAGAGGACAUCAGUGGCAUCGCUUCCUGCGUCUUCACAAGGAACGGGCAGGGGUUCUACCUGAUCUCUCCAUCAGAGUACCAGCGUUUCUCCCUGUCAGCUAAAGUCAUCACAGAACCUCUAUGUACUGUGGAGCUGGAGAGACCUCUGGAGACACACAUCAGCGACGACGCAGCCAUGCCUCUCCGGGCCAACGGAACUCACCGGAACCAGGCUGAAGGGUUAACCGAGGACCCCCAGUGUGGCCUGUCCUCCCCGCCUCCCCUCUCCCCUCUGGACUCCCCCCUCAGCAUGGCUGACGUCAGCCUGGACACCACCGGAGAACUCACUGUAGAGGACGUCAGGGACUUCCUCACUUCCGUGGACGAGGUAGAGAAUAACUUGAGGAACAUCACAGAGGAGGACGGAUGCUCUCUACGAGUCCUGAUCACCUGACCAGGUCUGCUGUGUUGUGGGAGGAUCUGGACUACAGACAGACAUCAUGUGAUGCUACCUGCCACUCCUCCUCCUCUCAUCCCCCCCAUCACGGCCUUCCAGUCCUGGGGUUGUUGGACUGACCAUGUGACCACUUCGGCUACUGAGGAAAGGACUGAAGAACGUCAUGAUGAACUGUUAUCUAACCACUAACACACUACACCUGGUCAACACGUUGAGAUGGACCUCCUCUAUCCCUCCCUCCAUCCCCCCUCUAUCCCUACUUCAUCCCUCCUCCAUCCCUCCUCCCUCCAUCCCUCCUCUAUCCCUACUUCAUCCCUCCUCCAUCCCUCCCUCCCUCCCUCCAUCCCUCCUCUAUCCCUCCCUCCAUCCCUCAGCCCUUCAACUGUGAACAUGGAGGGAUGAAGGUAUAACUUAAUGUUGAGUAGAGAGAUGCCUAACACAAUAUUACCUUUCCCCAGUAUUACAUGUCAUGGAGGGAUGAAGGUAUAACUUAAUGUUGAGUAGAGAGAUGCCUAACACAGUGUUACCUUUCCCCAGUAUUACAUGUUAUUAACAUGAAGGAACUAACCACCAAGGCUUUUCUAUUGAUGAUGUUGCUAUAGAUACACUAUGUUUUCUAUACGUCUGAUAAAUGCUAUUUUAUAUUCUAGGUAGUCUGGAGCGCUAAGCUAACGGUCUGUCUAGAGCUAACGGUUAGUUAACUGCUACCUGUCAAGAGCUGUCUAGAGCCAACUGUCUGUCUAGAGCUAACGGUUAGCUAACGGUCUGUCUAGAGCUAACGGUUAGCUAACGGUCUGUCUAGAGCUAACGGUUAGCUAACGGUCUGUCUAGAGCUAACGGUUAGCUAACGGUCUGUCUAGAGCUAACGGUUAGCUAACGGUCUGUCUAGAGCUAACGGUUAGCUCACGGUCUGUCUAGAGCUAACGGUUAGCUAACUGUCUGUCUAGAGCUAACGGUUAGCUAACGGUCUGUCUAGAGCUAACGGUUAGCUAACGGUCUGUCUAGAGCUAACGGUUAGUUAACUGUCUGUCUAGAGCUAACGGUUAGCUAACGGUCUGUCUAGAGCUAACUGUCUGUCUAGAGCUAACGGUUAGCUAACGGUCUGUCUAGAGCUAACUGUCUAGAGCUAACGGUUAGCUAACUGUCUAGAGCUAACGGUUAGCUAACUGACUGUCUAGAGCUAACGGUUAGCUAACUGUCUGUCUAGA